rnacentral:lncRNA from 1 species
GUUCCAGUCAGGAUGGCUGUAUGCGGGGUAGAAGCAUGACAGAGGCUGCCUGGCAGUGCCAUUAUGGGAAGACUGAAGUGUGCCAUUGGAAGCAGGCUUUCAGAGUUUGAACAUUACGGACAAUGUUAGUUUGUUCUCUUGGCUUCCUGCUCAUGGUUCAAGAUGUGAGCACUUAGCUUGUUAUUCCAGCCUCCACGCCGCUGCCUCUGCUCUGCAAUCAAUGGUGAUUGAUUCUAUCCCUCUGGAAUCAUGAGCCCAGAUACACUCUUCCAUAAGUUGCCUUCCUUGUGGUGUUCUACCACAGCAAUGGAGAAGUAACCAAUGUACUAAUUCCCUGUGGACUGGGAGACAGCGCCUUUGAUUAGCCCACAUGAGUGGGACCAGUGCCUUCAGAAAAGACCCAAAACCACAUGUGAAGACCUACAUCUGCAAUCCCAGCACUUGGGAGGUGGAGAUGGGAAAAUCAAUAAUUCAAGGCCAGCCUCACCUACAUAGUUUGAGACAAAUCUGGGCUACAUAAGACCAGGUCUCAAAAAAAAAAAAAAAAA